rnacentral:rRNA from 1 species
UAAAAAACAUGGCCUAUUGAUAAUAAUUUUAGGUCUAACCUGCCCAGUGAGGGGUUUAACGGCCGCAGUAUUUUGACUGUGCUAAGGUAGCAUAAUCAUUAGUUUUUUAAUUGAAAGCUUGUAUGAAUGGUUGAAUGAAAAAAAUUCUGUCUCUAAAUUAUUUUUAUUGAAUUUUAUUUUUAAGUAAAAAAGCUUAAAUUUUAUUAAAAGACGAGAAGACCCUAUAGAGUUUAAUUUAAUUUUAAUUUUAAAGAUUUAGGAAUAUUUAUUUAAACUUAAAAUUAUAUUUAGUUGGGGUGAUUAAAAAAUUUAAUAAACUUUUUUGAAUAAAACCAUAGAUUUAUGAAUAUUUGAUCCAUUAAUUAUGAUUAAAAGAAAAAAUUACCUUAGGGAUAACAGCGUAAUUUUUUUUAAGAGUUCAAAUCAAGAGAAAAGAUUGCGACCUCGAUGUUGGAUUAAAGUUAAUUUUUGGUGUAGAAGCUAUAAAUUUAGGUCUGUCGACCUAAUA